CGGUCGCUGGCGUAGCCGGUUAUCGCACCCGUCUCAUACAUCGAAUAGCGAGCGGCCAACAUGCCAAUCUGCACAGCACAGGGGAUCCUCAGUUCGAGCCUGAGCCGACCCA